rnacentral:rRNA from 1 species
GGACUACUGGGGUAUCUAAUCCUGUUUGAUCCCCACGCUGUCGCGCCUGAGCGUCAGUAACGGGCCAGUGAGCCGCCUUCGCCACCGGUGUUCUUCCCAAUAUCUACGAAUUUCACCUCUACACUGGGAAUUCCACUCACCUCUCCCGUACUCAAGCCGAUCAGUUUCAAAGGCAAUUCCGGAGUUGAGCUCCGGGCUUUCACCCCUGACUUGAUCGGCCGCCUGCGCGCGCUUUACGCCCAGUAAUUCCGAACAACGCUAGCCCCCUUCGUAUUACCGCGGCUGCUGGCAC